AGGAGAGUGGAUACACCUCGCGAAGGGUGACAUUGUUCAAGGGAGAGAGGGUGUCAGUGUUGAUGUGUCGACUUCGGGAUGGUUGAUGGUUCCCGCCAGGGGUGGUGAGGUCGGCAGGAACUGAGAGUGGACUCCUUGUCCACUUCAGGCCAGUUAAGACCACGAACCCAUCAUUGGGCCAGCACGAAUGCCUGAAAGGUGACCUUUUGAUGUCAGAGGGCCGAAAACUCCACCCUCAGAUCCUGGUAACGCUGCCGUUUUGUGAACAUGUGUCCUCUGAGGAGAUGAAGAGCCGUGGAGCUUCACUGUUCCUGUGCAGAUUAUCAGUUGCCUCCCUUCUCACCUCCAGGCAUCUAUGCUCGUGCUUCAGACCACUCUGCCCAUAAAUAGCCCAUAAACAUCCCUCAUCCCCAUUUUCGGGGAGGUGGAUUUGAGACUUGUUCUGCCACCUCCUCACUUGUCUGCCUUGUGAACAAACCCUUUCUCUCGGCCGCAACCUCGUCGUCUCAGUGAUUGGCAUACUGUGUAGCAGGCAAAACGAGCCUCGUCCCGUAACACCUGCACCUUCCUCUGGGCAUGUGCAGUGACUUUCUAAAUUCCCCUGUAUGUGCAUUGCUUUUGAAUGUCCUCCUCCUUAAACAGCUGGGUCCUAAAAGAGAAAAAAGAGAAAUUAAGGGGGAAAAAAUGCACCAGCCCUUUAAGUCCCCUGGAAGUCACUUCAGCUGGAGGGGAAGGGGUUUGCAACAAGGGCUGCUCACCUCUGCGUCCGCACCUCCCCAGUCAGAAGAAGCGAUCAGUGAUCAGAACACAGAUCCCGAUAUUUGGAGGACAGAGGCCUGUUGCCCACAGCUGUGUACAAGCUGCUCCAGGAACGCUUGCACUGCCCCCUGACACGGGGUCAGGGAGUGGGGGAUGGGUAGCUGCUACUAAGCUAAGAGCUGAAAUUAACCACAAUUUACUGGCCAAGACUUCCCCUGGGAGAAGUUGCCAGCCUUUAAAAGACUCCAGACUUCCAAAGUAGUCACAUCGGACAGACCCUGCCAGUACUGUUGUUAUCUGGCUGAGCAGGAGGAUUCCUGGUGCUUCCUACGCCACCAUCUUCCCCUGAGCUGUGCGACCUCGAGACAGUCACUUAAGCCCUCUUGGUCUCUGUUGCCUUGCCUGUGAAAAUGAGGGGGUUGGACCAAGGGGUUUGAAGAUCCUUCUAAUCCUAAAAGCCUGGGAUUCUAUACCGAGGACAAUAGGAGCUCCAGUAUCAUUGGACUAUUGGGAAAAGGAGAUGAGAUGAGCCAUAAUACAUAACUAUUUGUGUUUUUUCCCUCUAUUUUGUUUCUAUUAAUAUGUUUUACUGCCCCCCCCCAAAUUCAUUAAAGAACAUCUGUGGGUUUUUAUGGCGGAGUUCCCCUUCAUUCUUUUACUAGGGAAGCUGUACCCCUCCCUACUCUCAGCCUCUGUGGCUCAGGUAGGGUUAACCUCUCUCAUGGGUUGGACCCUGAUUGGCCUGAGCCGGUCUGCACAU
rnacentral:lncRNA from 1 species